rnacentral:rRNA from 1 species
GACGAACGCUGGCGGCGUGCUUAACACAUGCAAGUCGAACGGAAAGGCUCUGCUUUUGUGGGGUGCUCGAGUGGCGAACGGGGGAGUAACACGUGAGUAACCUGCCCUUGACUUUGGGAUAACUUCAUGAAACUGGGGCUAAUACCGGAUAGGAGCUCCUGCUGCAUGGUGGGGGUUGGAAAGUUUCGGCGGUUGGGGAUGGACUCGCGGCUUAUCAGCUUGUUGGUGUGGUAGUGGCUUACCAAGGCUUUGACGGGUAGCCGGCCUGAGAGGGUGACCGGCCACAUUGGGACUGAGAUACGGCCCAGACUCCUACGGGAGGCAGCAGUGGGGAAUAUUGCACAAUGGGCGGAAGCCUGAUGCAGCCACGCCGCGUGCGGGAUGACGGCCUUCGGGUUGUAAACCGCUUUCGCCUGUGACGAAGCGUGAGUGACGGUAAUGGGUAAAGAAGCACCGGCUAACUACGUG